rnacentral:rRNA from 1 species
GAUGAACGCUAGCGGGAGGCUUAACACAUGCAAGUCGAGGGGCAGCAUAGGGUAGCAAUACUCUGAUGGCGACCGGCGCACGGGUGAGUAACGCGUAUGCAACCUACCCUUUACCGGGGGAUAGCUCGGAGAAAUCCGGAUUAAUACCCCAUGACAUUCCGGGGGCGCAUGUUUCCGGGAUUAAAACUACGGUGGUAAAGGAUGGGCAUGCGUAACAUUAGCUAGUUGGUGAGGUAACGGCUCACCAAGGCUACGAUGUUUAGGGGACCUGAGAGGGUGAUCCCCCACACUGGUACUGAGACACGGACCAGACUCCUACGGGAGGCAGCAGUGAGGAAUAUUGGUCAAUGGGCGCAAGCCUGAACCAGCCAUCCCGCGUGCAGGAAGAAGGCGCUAUGCGUUGUAAACUGCUUUUGCAGGGGAAGAAAAUACCGGUCGUGACCGGGACUGACAGUACCCUGUGAAUAAGCAUCGGCUAACUCCGUGCCAGCAGCCGCGGUAAACUA